rnacentral:rRNA from 1 species
AGAACGAACGCUGGCGGCAUGCCUAAUACAUGCAAGUCGAACGAACUCUUCGGAGUUAGUGGCGCACGGGUGCGUAACGCGUGGGAAUCUGCCCCUUGGUUCGGAAUAACAGUUGGAAACGACUGCUAAUACCGGAUGAUGACGAAAGUCCAAAGAUUUAUCGCCAAGGGAUGAGCCCGCGUAGGAUUAGCUAGUUGGUGAGGUGAAGGCUCACCAAGGCAACGAUCCUUAGCUGGUCUGAGAGGAUGAUCAGCCACACUGGGACUGAGACACGGCCCAGACUCCUACGGGAGGCAGCAGUGGGGAAUAUUGGACAAUGGGCGAAAGCCUGAUCCAGCCAUGCCGCGUGUGUGAAGAAGGUCUUCGGAUUGUAAAGCACUUUAAGUGGGAGGAAGGUUGUAACUUAAUACGUUGCAACUUUGACGUUACCGACAGAAUAAGCACCGGCUAACUUCGUGCCAGCAGCCGC